GUGAACGUAGCCGAGUGGCUCAGGCGGCGGGUCGUGGCCCCGUCUACGUCGGUUCGAUUCCGACCGUUCACCCCA
rnacentral:tRNA from 1 species